rnacentral:rRNA from 1 species
GAACAGGACGUCACAGAGGGUGAGAAUCCCGUGCGAUGAGAUGCCCAAUCCUAUGUAAGGUGCUUUCGAAGAGUCGAGUUGUUUGGGAAUGCAGCUCUAAGUGGGUGGUAAAUUCCAUCUAAAGCUAAAUAUUGGCGAGAGACCGAUAGCGAACAAGUACAGUGAUGGAAAGAUGAAAAGAACUUUGAAAAGAGAGUGAAAAAGUACGUGAAAUUGUUGAAAGGGAAGGGUUUGAGAUCAGACUCGAUAUUUUGUGAGCCUUGCCUUCGUGGCGGGGUGACCCGCAGCUUAUCGGGCCAGCAUCGGUUUGGGCGGUAGGAUAAUGGCGUAGGAAUGUGACUUUGCUUCGGUGAAGUGUUAUAGCCUGCGUUGAUGCUGCCUGCCUAGACCGAGGACUGCGAUUUUAUCAAGGAUGCUGGCAUAAUGAUCCCAAACC